rnacentral:rRNA from 1 species
UGGGGAAUAUUGCACAAUGGACGGAAGUUUGAUGCAGCGACGCCGCGUGGAGGGUGUAGGCCUUCGGGUUGUGAACUCCUUUUUCUCGCGAAAAAGGCACAGUUUUGGCUGUGUUGAUGGUAGUGGGGGAAGAAGCGCCGGCUAACUACGUGCCAGCAGCCGCGGUAAUACGUAGGGCGCGAGCGUUGUCCGGAUUUAUUGGGCGUAAAGAGCUCGUAGGUGGUUCGUCGCGUCUGUCGUGAAAGCCAGAAGCUUAACUGUUGGUCUGCGGUGGGUACGGGCGGGCUUGAGUGCGGUAGGGGUGACUUGAAUUCCUGGUGUAGCGGUGGAAUGCGCAGAUAUCAGGAGGAACACCGAUGGCGAAGGCAGGUCACUGGGCCGUUACUGACACUGAGGAGCGAAAGCGUGGGGAGCGAACAGG